UGAGGAAUUUUUGGACAAUGGGCGCAAGCCUGAUCCAGCCAUGCCGCGUGCGGGAAGAAGGCCUUCGGGUUGUAAACCGCUUUUGUCAGGGAAGAAAUCUUCUGAGUUAAUACCUCGGGAGGAUGACGGUACCUGAAGAAUAAGCACCGGCUAACUACGUGCCAGCAGCCGCGGUAAUACGUAGGGUGCAAGCGUUAAUCGGAAUUACUGGGCGUAAAGCGUGCGCAGGCGGUUUUGUAAGACAGAGGUGAAAUCCCCGGGCUCAACCUGGGAACUGCCUUUGUGACUGCAAGGCUUGAGUGCGGCAGAGGGGGGAUGGAAUUCCGCGUGUAGCAGUGAAAUGCGUAGAUAUGCGGAGGAACACCGAUGGCGAAGGCAAUCCCCUGGGCCUGCACUGACGCUCAUGCACGAAAGCGUGGGGAGCAAACAGGAUUAGAUACCCUGGUAGUCCACGCCCUAAACGAUGUCAACUGGUUGUUGGGAAGGUUCCUUCUCAGUAACGUAGCUAACGCGUGAAGUUGACCGCCUGGGGAGUACGGCCGCAAGGUU
rnacentral:rRNA from 1 species